CCCUAUUAUUGUGGAGCGUUAAAUUUUUGUGCCUGAGUAGUAUUAGUUAUGUUCUUGAAACUUAAAGAAUUUGGCGGUAUCUUAUUCCAUCCAGAGGAAUCUGUCUCGUUAUCGAUAGUCCGCGUUGGACCUUACUUAGUUGCUUUGGUUUGUAUACCGCCGUUUAUUGAUUAUCUUUUUAGGGUUUAGUUUAAAUUUUCUGGUUUCUUUAUUCUGAUUUAUUUCAGGUCAAGGUGCAGCUUGUUUCUAAGUGGAAUGAUGGAUUACAUUGUUAUUUGUUUAUUUGGAUUAUUGAUUUUAAUAUUGAUGUGAAAUUGGAUUUGGUUGUAAUGUUUUGUAGAUUGUCUACAUGAUAAUUGGUUCUGGGAUAUGUACACAUCGCCCGUCGCUCUCGUUUAUUUGUUAAUGAGAUAAGUC
rnacentral:rRNA from 1 species